rnacentral:rRNA from 1 species
GUCGAACGCAUCCUUCGGGGUGAGUGGCAGACGGGUGAGUAACGCGCUGGGAAUCUACCCAUCCCUACGGGAUAGCUCCGGGAAACUGGAGAUAAUACCGUAUACGUCCUCCGGGAGAAAGAUUUAUCGGGGAUGGAUGAGCCCGCGUUGGAUUAGCUAGUUGGUGGGGUAAUGGCCUACCAAGGCGACGAUCCAUAGCUGGUCUAAGAGGAUGAUCAGCCACAUUGGGACUGAGACACGGCCCAAACUCCUACGGGAGGCAGCAGUGGGGAAUAUUGGACAAUGGGCGCAAGCCUGAUCCAGCCAUGCCGCGUGAGUGAUGAAGGCCCUAGGGUUGUAAAGCUCUUUCAGUGGGGACGAUAAUGACGGUACCCACAGAAGAAGCCCCGGCUAACUUCGUGCCAGCAGCCGCGGUAAUACGAAGG